rnacentral:rRNA from 1 species
CCUGGCUCAGGAUGAACGCUAGCGGCAGGCUUAACACAUGCAAGUCGAGGGGCAUCGGGAGUAGCAAGUACUUGCCGGCGACCGGCGCAAGGGUGCGUAACGCGUGAGCAACAUGCCCGUAUCAGGGGGAUAAUCCAUGGAAACGUGGUCUAAUACCCCAUAGUAAUUAUGUAAGGCAUCUUAUAUAAUUUAAAGCUUUGGUGGAUACGGAUUGGCUCGCGUGACAUUAGCUGGAUGGUAAGGUAACGGCUUACCAUGGCUACGAUGUCUAGGGGUUCUGAGAGGAAGGUCCCCCCACACUGGAACUGAGACACGGUCCAGACUCCUACGGGAGGCAGCAGUGAGGAAUAUUGGACAAUGGAUGGAAAUCUGAUCCAGCCAUGCCGCGUGCAGGAAAGACGGCCCUAUGGGUUGUAAACUGCUUUUGUAUGGGAGCAAUAAGGGCUACGUGUAGUCCGAUGAGAGUACCAUACGAAUAAGCACCGGCUAACUCCGUGCCAGCCGCUGC